rnacentral:rRNA from 1 species
GACGAACGCUGGCGGCGUGCUUAACACAUGCAAGUCGAGCGGUAAGGCCUUUCGGGGUACACGAGCGGCGAACGGGUGAGUAACACGUGGGUGAUCUGCCCUGCACUUCGGGAUAAGCCUGGGAAACUGGGUCUAAUACCGGAUAUGACCUCCUAUCGCAUGGUGGGUGGUGGAAAGAUUUAUCGGUGCAGGAUGGGCCCGCGGCCUAUCAGCUUGUUGGUGGGGUAAUGGCCUACCAAGGCGACGACGGGUAGCCGACCUGAGAGGGUGACCGGCCACACUGGGACUGAGACACGGCCCAGACUCCUACGGGAGGCAGCAGUGGGGAAUAUUGCACAAUGGGCGAAAGCCUGAUGCAGCGACGCCGCGUGAGGGAUGACGGCCUUCGGGUUGUAAACAUCCUUCAGCAGGGACGAAGCGCAAGUGACGGUACCUGCAGAAGAAGCACCGGCUAACUACGUG